GAGGGGGACAAAGGUCUAUGGACUUGGAAGGACAGAGUUCAAUAGACUGAGCUCCAGGCAGUGCCUAAGGUGGCAGCUGAUGUAAGUGUUCUGUUUGAGAAAACUGUGAGGCCCAAUUUCAAGUAUAAUCUCCCCAAAAGAAAAGACAAAAACUAUGCACGGCCGAUUUGAAGUGAAAAAAAUUUAGAAGCAAGUUCCCUCAGUUUUGUGCAUAAGGAAGAAGCUCAUUCUUAAUGCCUUCAGCCCUUUAAAUCCAGUUAUUCCGCAUCGCAAAUAUCUCAGUUCCUUCCCAUUGUCUCCACUACCAUCACUUGGAGGAAGCCACCAACAUCGCUCUCCAGAACUCACUAGUUUCAGGCUCCAGGAGAAAGCAAGGCAGGAAAACCUCUACUACUGGAUUAGGGGAUAGUUAAUGAGGAAGUCAAACCCGCAACGUUGGGUUAUCCGGAGGAUGGCUAAGCAGCUGACCUCUGUGCCGGGGUCCGGUGCGCUCUUGGAGGUGGUUGUGCUUCCCAGGAGUGCGGAAAAGAGGCUUUUCAAAAGUGUGUUCACCUUGAUGCGCAAAAACAACGGCCGGACUUGCUUCGUGCAAAGGUAAACACUUAGGAGUGCGAUUGCUGAAUUGUAUGG